AAGAAAUCAUUUCAGUACUUCUAAGUCAACACAAAGACAGCAAGGGAAGACGACAAAGGAAUAAGCAAGGACCAGCAAGAAUUUGGCAGGAGCAUUAACUUCUGCUAGCUUAUUUUUCUGGCUUGAUAAUCAUGCCCUUGAGUCAUGUCUUGACUUUUGUUAAGGGUUUUGGUGACACCUGUGAGAAUCUCCUAUGAAUCUCCUAUAUUGCUAUGAAGCAAUAUGACAUAAAAUAAAUUGCUAUAGGGUGGACAUAAAUUGUUGAAAAAUUGUACUGGAAUAAAACUGGUUUUAUUACAUUUGCAGAUCACAUACUGGAAGGACAACAAAUGCCCUUGACAAACUGGAGAAGGAGUUGAAAAAUACGAUACAGGUCAGUGAUAAGAUUAUACAACAAGCAUGAAUAGAGGAUCGGGAAAUGAUGUAGAUAGCAACUCUGCUGCGUUGGCCCCCAGCUAUGAGCAGCAUUUUUGCAGCACUUAGUACAACAUUAAUUCAGUCUGUUACCUGGACUCUCAGCUACCUGUCAGAGGAGAAUAACUACAAGUUUUGAAGAAGGCUUGAUUCUGGGCUGGGACAGCUCAGCCUUACGCCUGGUCCUAAGUGUUCCAAGUCUGCAGGGCUCGUGGCUCAAGGCAGUCCCAGUUCCCCCUGCUCCCACGAGCAAGAGGCCCUGCUGACCCUUUGAGGACCUACCUGGACAUGGUGCCAUUAAAUGCACUGGGACUUUGCUAGCUCACCAUACCUGAUGAAUUUGUUUCAUCACCCUUGGGAGUAACUGCUGAUCUACAUAAGUGUUUUCAUCCUGUACUGGGGCUCUACUGUAUCAAGCAUUACACUCUUCCUCUGGAUCUGCAGGCUUCAAGAGGAUCCCCUACCACAUGUUGGCAGCUCAUGGGGUAACAAUGCUUCGGAACAUUUUAGCAACCAAAUUAAAAGCUGCCUGUGAGGGAGGAGGAGGAAGAGAAGUGAACAGGAAGCACUUAUGAAGAACUCAUGCAUGUGUUCACUCAGAUAUCUUUACAUCUAAAUAGCAUGUAGUCAUCACUUCAUAAGCUUAGAGUGAGCACUCUGGCUUCACCACAGGAGCAGCCUCAGCAAGAAGUUUAAACUCAGAGGAUUCAACUGGCAAAAGAAGAUAUGCAGAGGAAUAAGAUUGCCUGUUGCUGCCAACUAUGGUGUCAUUGACAAAUUACAGUCUUGCUGCUCAAAGGCAGGGCACUCAAUAGGAGAAUGGCCUACCUAAGAAUUCUGACUUCUCCGGUUUUAAAUAUACAUGGAUCAAACCAGUCCUUAAGCUGGUUAACUGUUUAUCAUAAUUUAAAUUUGAAACUGAGGAAGAAUUCUACCCCCUGCUUCGAAAUCACGUGAAUAGCAAAACAGCUCUUCCUGGAAGUCAGCCAAGGGAUCUAUACAGUUACAGCUCAAUUCACACUUGAUGCUCUGAAGAUUCUGUGAUGCAAGAUGUUCAAGAGGGCACUGUGCAAGGGCUCAGAGGACUUGUUCACUUCCUGGCGCUUCCAGACUCUGCUGGAUACCCUGUCCGAGGCUAAGUUCCGCUGUCUAUCUGCCUUUGUCAUCUUCUCUGUGAGAAAACAGAGUACACAACCAUAUCCUGGUAAAGCACUUUAAGGUACACAUUAGUACUUUAGAACCACAUCAGCACUUCAUAAUAUCUAACAAAAAUAUAUCUUCAGUAAAAUAAAAAAGAAAAAAUGCAAUUGUUUCCAUUGAAAUCAGACUGGAAAGCAAGGAAGGGG